GCUGCAACUGACAUUGAGGCUUGAAAGUGUGGGUAUCAAACAAGGAUUAGAUACCCUGGUAGUCCACACGGUAAACGAUGAAUACUCGCUGUUUGCGAUAUACGGCAAGCGGCCAAGCGAAAGCGUUAAGUAUUCCACCUGGGGAGUACGCCGGCAACGGUGAAACUCAAAGGAAUUGACGGGGGCCCGCACAAGCGGAGGAACAUGUGGUUUAAUUCGAUGAUACGCGAGGAACCUUACCCGGGCUUAAAUUGCAGAUGAAUUACGGUGAAAGCCGUAAGCCGCAAGGCAUCUGUGAAGGUGCUGCAUGGUUGUCGUCAGCUCGUGCCGUGAGGUGUCGGCUUAAGUGCCAUAACGAGCGCAACCCUUGUUGUCAGUUACUAACAGGUUCCGCUGAGGACUCUGACAAGACUGCCAUCGUAAGAUGUGAGGAAGGUGGGGAUGACGUCAAAUCAGCACGGCCCUUACGUCCGGGGCUACACACGUGUUACAAUGGGGGGUACAGAGGGCCGCUACCACGCGAGUGGAUGCCAAUCCCAAAAACCUCUCUCAGUUCGGACUGGAGUCUGCAACCCGACUCCACGAAGCUGGAUUCGCUAGUAAUCGCGCAUCAGCCACGGCGCGGUGAAUACGUUCCCGGGCCUUGUACACACCGCCCGUCAAGCCAUGGGAGCCGGGGGUACCUGAAGUGCGUAACCGCGAGGAGCGCCCUAGGGUAAAACU
rnacentral:rRNA from 1 species